ACACAUGCAAGUCGAGCGGAUGAAAGGAGCUUGCUCCUGGAUUCAGCGGCGGACGGGUGAGUAAUGCCUAGGAAUCUGCCUGGUAGUGGGGGACAACGUUUCGAAAGGAACGCUAAUACCGCAUACGUCCUACGGGAGAAAGCAGGGGACCUUCGGGCCUUGCGCUAUCAGAUGAGCCUAGGUCGGAUUAGCUAGUUGGUGAGGUAAUGGCUCACCAAGGCGACGAUCCGUAACUGGUCUGAGAGGAUGAUCAGUCACACUGGAACUGAGACACGGUCCAGACUCCUACGGGAGGCAGCAGUGGGGAAUAUUGGACAAUGGGCGAAAGCCUGAUCCAGCCAUGCCGCGUGUGUGAAGAAGGUCUUCGGAUUGUAAAGCACUUUAAGUUGGGAGGAAGGGUUGUAGAUUAAUACUCUGCAAUUUUGACGUUACCGACAGAAUAAGCACCGGCUAACUCUGUGCCAGCAGCCGCGGUAAUACAGAGGGUGCAAGCGUUAAUCGGAAUUACUGGGCGUAAAGCGCGCGUAGGUGGUUUGUUAAGUUGGAUGUGAAAUCCCCGGGCUCAACCUGGGAACUGCAUCCAAAACUGGCAAGCUAGAGUAUGGU
rnacentral:rRNA from 1 species